rnacentral:rRNA from 3 species
GGGUUGUGAGGUUAAGCGACUAAGCGUACACGGUGGAUGCCCUGGCAGUCAGAGGCGAUGAAGGACGUGCUAAUCUGCGAUAAGCGUCGGUAAGGUGAUAUGAACCGUUAUAACCGGCGAUUUCCGAAUGGGGAAACCCAGUGUGAUUCGUCACACUAUCAUUAACUGAAUCCAUAGGUUAAUGAGGCGAACCGGGGGAACUGAAACAUCUAAGUACCCCGAGGAAAAGAAAUCAACCGAGAUUCCCCCAGUAGCGGCGAGCGAACGGGGAGGAGCCCAGAGCCUGAAUCAGUGUGUGUGUUAGUGGAAGCGUCUGGAAAGGCGCGCGAUACAGGGUGACAGCCCCGUACACAAAAAUGCACAUACUGUGAGCUCGAUGAGUAGGGCGGGACACGUGGUAUCCUGUCUGAAUAUGGGGGGACCAUCCUCCAAGGCUAAAUACUCCUGACUGACCGAUAGUGAACCAGUACCGUGAGGGAAAGGCGAAAAGAACCCCGGCGAGGGGAGUGAAAAAGAACCUGAAACCGUGUACGUACAAGCAGUGGGAGCACAGAGCAAUCUGUGUGACUGCGUACCUUUUGUAUAAUGGGUCAGCGACUUAUAUUCUGUAGCAAGGUUAACCGAAUAGGGGAGCCGAAGGGAAACCGAGUCUUAACCGGGCGUUAAGUUGCAGGGUAUAGACCCGAAACCCGGUGAUCUAGCCAUGGGCAGGUUGAAGGUUGGGUAACACUAACUGGAGGACCGAACCGACUAAUGUUGAAAAAUUAGCGGAUGACUUGUGGCUGGGGGUGAAAGGCCAAUCAAACCGGGAGAUAGCUGGUUCUCCCCGAAAGCUAUUUAGGUAGCGCCUCGUGAAUUCAUCUCCGGGGGUAGAGCACUGUUUCGGCAAGGGGGUCAUCCCGACUUACCAACCCGAUGCAAACUGCGAAUACCGGAGAAUGUUAUCACGGGAGACACACGGCGGGUGCUAACGUCCGUCGUGAAGAGGGAAACAACCCAGACCGCCAGCUAAGGUCCCAAAGUCAUGGUUAAGUGGGAAACGAUGUGGGAAGGCCCAGACAGCCAGGAUGUUGGCUUAGAAGCAGCCAUCAUUUAAAGAAAGCGUAAUAGCUCACUGGUCGAGUCGGCCUGCGCGGAAGAUGUAACGGGGCUAAACCAUGCACCGAAGCUGCGGCAGCGACACUGUGUGUUGUUGGGUAGGGGAGCGUUCUGUAAGCCUGUGAAGGUGUGCUGUGAGGCAUGCUGGAGGUAUCAGAAGUGCGAAUGCUGACAUAAGUAACGAUAAAGCGGGUGAAAAGCCCGCUCGCCGGAAGACCAAGGGUUCCUGUCCAACGUUAAUCGGGGCAGGGUGAGUCGACCCCUAAGGCGAGGCCGAAAGGCGUAGUCGAUGGGAAACAGGUUAAUAUUCCUGUACUUGGUGUUACUGCGAAGGGGGGACGGAGAAGGCUAUGUUGGCCGGGCGACGGUUGUCCCGGUUUAAGCGUGUAGGCUGGUUUUCCAGGCAAAUCCGGAAAAUCAAGGCUGAGGCGUGAUGACGAGGCACUACGGUGCUGAAGCAACAAAUGCCCUGCUUCCAGGAAAAGCCUCUAAGCAUCAGGUAACAUCAAAUCGUACCCCAAACCGACACAGGUGGUCAGGUAGAGAAUACCAAGGCGCUUGAGAGAACUCGGGUGAAGGAACUAGGCAAAAUGGUGCCGUAACUUCGGGAGAAGGCACGCUGAUAUGUAGGUGAAGUCCCUCGCGGAUGGAGCUGAAAUCAGUCGAAGAUACCAGCUGGCUGCAACUGUUUAUUAAAAACACAGCACUGUGCAAACACGAAAGUGGACGUAUACGGUGUGACGCCUGCCCGGUGCCGGAAGGUUAAUUGAUGGGGUCAGCGCAAGCGAAGCUCUUGAUCGAAGCCCCGGUAAACGGCGGCCGUAACUAUAACGGUCCUAAGGUAGCGAAAUUCCUUGUCGGGUAAGUUCCGACCUGCACGAAUGGCGUAAUGAUGGCCAGGCUGUCUCCACCCGAGACUCAGUGAAAUUGAACUCGCUGUGAAGAUGCAGUGUACCCGCGGCAAGACGGAAAGACCCCGUGAACCUUUACUAUAGCUUGACACUGAACAUUGAGCCUUGAUGUGUAGGAUAGGUGGGAGGCUUUGAAGUGUGGACGCCAGUCUGCAUGGAGCCGACCUUGAAAUACCACCCUUUAAUGUUUGAUGUUCUAACGUGGACCCGUGAUCCGGGUUGCGGACAGUGUCUGGUGGGUAGUUUGACUGGGGCGGUCUCCUCCUAAAGAGUAACGGAGGAGCACGAAGGUUGGCUAAUCCUGGUCGGACAUCAGGAGGUUAGUGCAAUGGCAUAAGCCAGCUUGACUGCGAGCGUGACGGCGCGAGCAGGUGCGAAAGCAGGUCAUAGUGAUCCGGUGGUUCUGAAUGGAAGGGCCAUCGCUCAACGGAUAAAAGGUACUCCGGGGAUAACAGGCUGAUACCGCCCAAGAGUUCAUAUCGACGGCGGUGUUUGGCACCUCGAUGUCGGCUCAUCACAUCCUGGGGCUGAAGUAGGUCCCAAGGGUAUGGCUGUUCGCCAUUUAAAGUGGUACGCGAGCUGGGUUUAGAACGUCGUGAGACAGUUCGGUCCCUAUCUGCCGUGGGCGCUGGAGAACUGAGGGGGGCUGCUCCUAGUACGAGAGGACCGGAGUGGACGCAUCACUGGUGUUCGGGUUGUCAUGCCAAUGGCACUGCCCGGUAGCUAAAUGCGGAAGAGAUAAGUGCUGAAAGCAUCUAAGCACGAAACUUGCCCCGAGAUGAGUUCUCCCUGACCCUUUAAGGGUCCUGAAGGAACGUUGAAGACGACGACGUUGAUAGGCCGGGUGUGUAAGCGCAGCGAUGCGUUGAGCUAACCGGUACUAAUGAACCGUGAGGCUUAACCUUACAACGCCGAAGGUGUUU